GGAGUCUGGUCCGUGUCUCAGUACCAGUGUGGGGGACCUUCCUCUCAGAACCCCUAAGGAUCGUCGGCUCGGUGGGCCGUUACCCCGCCAACAAGCUAAUCAGACGCAUCCCCAUCCUUAACCGACAAAUUCUUUGGUCCGGGUCAGAUGCCCUCGCUGGACCACAUCGGGCAUUAAUCCGGUUUUCACCGGGCUAUUCCCAAGUUAAGGGAAGGUUGGAUACGCGUUACUCACCCGUGCGCCGGUCGCCAUCAAAGGAAGCAAGCUUCCUUCAUGCUGCCCCUCGACUUGCAUGUGUUAAGCCUGUAGCUAGCGUUCAUC
rnacentral:rRNA from 1 species